UUUGAAAAAAUAUAUGAACAAUUGUUUGAAAUCGGUUUAUCUCUACGGUACAGAAUUUUGUAAUGCUUUUUAUCUUUUUUUAAUAAGAGAUUAUUCAAUGGAAAUAUUAUAAAUAAGAAAAAUAUAUAAACAUGUAUCAUAACGCAUUUCCAAAUGCCACGAAACAUGUCUCGUAUAAAAAUUAUGAUCUAUUCUUCAGGUUGUCUUUGUGCCAAGGUAUCUCUUGCCAAUUUUUUAAAGUGUUGUCGAUGUUUAAAAUUGUUAUUAUUUUUUUCUACUUCUACAUUAUAUCGGAAUUUCUUACAAAGGAGCGAAAUUUGUGAGGGGAGAAAAACUCCUCGGAGUUUAUAUUUCUAAAAAAAAAAAAUGCGUAUACUUUUAAAUAACAAUUCUAACAAUUUUAGAUGUUGACAGCGAAUGAGGGUCAGAAAAUAAACAUGUUAUUAUCACUCAGAUUCCUUUCAAUGUCAGUUUGGCGUGUCCUUCUAUUAAUGCCAAGACUUGUUUGACGCAGAUUUGUGACGUUUAGCAGUAACCUUCUUAAGAAAAAUCGAUAAUAUCCACUAUAAGAAUAGCAAGUAAUGGAAAAAUAUCAAAAACAUUUAUAGAUUAAUACUAUUUUUCGACUUAAAUUUAACUUCGGUACGAUUUUUAUAUUCCUUUCUAGAGGUCGACCAAUAACGAUUUAGGUUAUGUAGACCGUUAUUUAUAAAACUGAUAUUUUUAUCGUUCUAUAAUGUACACAAAUUACAGAAAAAAUCCAUAAUCUACGUCAUCAAUUUAAUGUAAAAUGUAGUGGUGUACUAUAGUGUAGUGUACUAGUAGUAGAUAGUGUAGUGUAAUAGUGUAUUGUUGAAAUAUAUUGUGUAGCAAGUUAGAAAUUAUUGAGACAUUAAUAAAGAAAAUAAUUUCCAUUUUAGUUUACCAGAUAAUAGCAAGCUUGACUUACUCUACAAGUCAUUAAAAUAGUUGGCAGAACAAAAAAAAGCAAAAAUUUUAUUCUAAUAUUUUAACAAUAAGAAACGAAAUCAAAGGUAAAAAGUAGAAAAGUAAUUUUUAACAGGUUUCUUAAUGGGAAAUGGUCUGGAAGAAAAAGAAACUGGAUGGCUUAAAAACGCGAUUUAGAGCUAAAUAAAGUUGAGAUGUCCCGCUGUAAUUACAAGCGACGGUCAAUUGACUUGCACGUGCUGUGUCACGCGUGACCUGGCACGGUGAAAACAUUCCUAAUUAUAACGCUUGACGUCUAUCUUAAACAGAAGUAAUUAUAGAUUGUUAAAUAAAACCUGCUUAGCGAACUUAUCCAUAUUUUCAUUCAGGCGAAAAAGCUGACGUUAAAUAGAGCAAGUACACAGUUAAAUACGCACAUCAUCGGAAUUUCUCAAUAGAUUUUUUUUUUUGUUGUUGUUUUCUUCUUUCUAAAACUGUUUUUGAGUAAAUUAGAUCAUGGGCAUAUUUUUACCAAUUGCAGAAAUGUUUAAACGGUCGUAGUGACGUAUGUCGAAAAAGGAGGAACAUUUUUGAGAGUAUUACUCGAACUUAACGGAACGUGUACAGUAUAUAGAGUGAACCAGUCGGUGACCCAAGACAUUACGCUAGCGUCGAGAACUCACAUUCACGCUUUGUACAUAAGAGUGUUUUCUUGACAUCAAAAGAAAAGACGAUCCGUAGUUACCUCAACCAAAUCGGUAAUUAAAAAUGGCCGUUUUGUCAGACUCCAAAAAAUAUCUCUUCAUUCUGAUUCUAAAACGGAUGUUAGAAAAAUAAUGACUUCU
rnacentral:lncRNA from 1 species